UACGAAGGGGGCUAGCGUUGUUCGGAAUCACUGGGCGUAAAGGGCGCGUAGGCGGCCGCUCAAGUCGGGGGUGAAAGCCUGUGGCUUAACCACAGAAUUGCCUUCGAUACUGUUUGGCUUGAGACCGGAAGAGGUGAGUGGAACUGCGAGUGUAGAGGUGAAAUUCGUAGAUAUUCGCAAGAACAUCGGUGGCGAAGGCGGCCAUCUGGACGGUGACUGACGCUGAGACGCGAAAGCGUGGGGAGCAAACAGG
rnacentral:rRNA from 1 species